UACGGAAGUGGCAAGCGUUAUCCGGAAUUAUUGGGCGUAAAGCGUCCGCAGGCGGCCUUGAAAGUCUGAUGUUAAAGCGUGGAGCUUAACUCCAUUUCAGCAGUGGAAACUACAAGGCUAGAGUGCGGUAGAGGCAGAGGGAAUUCCCGGUGUAGCGGUGAAAUGCGUAGAUAUCGGGAAGAACACCAGUGGCGAAGGCGCUCUGCUGGGCCAUAACUGACGCUCAUGGACGAAAGCCAGGGGAGCGAAAGGGAUUAGAUACCCCUGUAGUCCUGGCCGUAAACGAUGAACACUAGGUGUCGGGGGAAUCGACCCCCUCGGUGUCGUAGCCAACGCGUUAAGUGUCUCCGCCUGGGGAGUACGCACGCAAGUGUGAAACUCAAAGGAAUUGACGGGGGCCCGCACAAGCGGCGGAGUAUGUGGUUUAAUUCGAUGCAACGCGAAGAACCUUACCAGGGUUUGACAUCCUGCGAAUCCCUUGGAAACGAGGGAGAGCUUUCGGGAACGCAGUGCCAGGUGGUGCAUGGCUGUCGUCAGCUCGUGUCGUGAGAUGUUGGGUUAAGUCCCGCAACGAGCCCAACCCACGUCUUUAGUUGCCACCAUUCAGUUGGGCCCUCUAGAGAGACCGCCGGUGAUCAACCGGAGGAAGGUGUGGAGAGACGUCAAGUCAUCAUGCCCCUUUCAUCCUGGGCUACCCCCGUACUACAAUGGUACGGACAAAGGGCAGCAAACUCGCGAGAGCCAACAAAUUCCAUAAACCGUGGCUCAGUUCAGAUCGUAGUCUGCAACUCGCGUACGUGAAGGAGGAAUCGCUAGUAAUCGCAGGUCAGCAUACUGCGGUGAAUACGUUCCCGGGCCU
rnacentral:rRNA from 1 species